AAGGAAAGUUUAGUUAAAUAUUUAGAUUGUGGAAAUGUCUAUACAAAAUCCUCUGUAGCGUCCCCCCUCUCUCCCUAUUCCCCCCCCCUUUUCAUAACUACUACUCGCGUAAUAGUUUGAAAAGGGAGGGGGGCGAGAGAGAGGGGGGGGAUGCAUCUCUCCUCCUACGGAGAGAGAGACGCUGUGGUGGAUUAUGAGGUAAAAAAAAUUAUCUGAUUUAACUGAAAAGAUUAUCCCUAUCGACCCUGUUCUUGCACCCCCCUCCUUCUUUUAUCUUUCGACCCUGUUCUUCCCCCCCGGAGGGGGGGAUGCAAAUGAAAAAGAAGGAGGAGUGCAUGUAAUAAAUAUCCGCUAGAAGGUGCAAAGAAGGAAAAUUUUGAAGAUUUUUGUAGAGCAGCGUCUUUGGUUGAAUCUGGAGCUCAUUUAACUAAAUCUGGCUUAG
rnacentral:RNase_P_RNA from 1 species